GUAGCUCAGUUCGGUAGAGCACUUGACUGAAAAUCAAGGUGUCCCCAGUUCAAAUCUGGGC
rnacentral:tRNA from 1 species